UUGUGAAUGCUUUUUCUUUGUUUUUUUGGGUUUUAGUUGGCUGUAGUUGAGGGAUAGCCGACUGAGAAUAUCUGGACUAAUAAAAUAAGCGCAAGCUCUUUGAAUGAUAAACCACCUUACCUGUUUCAGCAUAAAGGAUGUUAACUGAAACAUCAUAUGGUACUUGUUGGUGUAAGUAGAUGGUUGCCAUCUCUUCAAAUAGUUUUAUUUGUUCUAAUUGGCCAUUUGAUAUUAUUGUGAAUCAGGUGCGGGAACUGGCAGAAAAAGAGCCUGAUAAUGGUGUCAUUAAAAUGCUUUGCAGUGAUGUUACUCGGUUUUUGAUGACUAUUCUCAUUGGCACAAUGUUCUACCCGCCCCCUUAAUUCACAGAGGCAGCAACAGCUUUAUUUGGUGAGGCUGGUGUCAGUGCAGCAACAGGAGUAAUGACUGUUUUCCAUGCUUUGCUGAUGUUACUGU